rnacentral:miRNA from 1 species
AUAUUAUUUUUCAAAUUUUCUUUUUCUGAAUAAAAGUAUAACAUCUAUAUUUUUAUUCAGAAAAAGAAAAUUUGAAAAAUAAUAU